rnacentral:rRNA from 1 species
CCUACGUGGGGCUGCAGUGGGGAAUAUUGGACAAUGGGCGAAAGCCUGAUCCAGCAAUGCCGCGUGAGUGAUGAAGGCCUUAGGGUUGUAAAGCUCUUUUACCAGGGAUGAUCAUGACAGUACCUGGAGAAUAAGCUCCGGCUCACUCCUUGCCAGCAGCCGCGGUCCUACGGAGGGAGCUAGCGUUGUUCGGAAUUACUGGGCGUAAAGCGCACGUAGGCGGUUUUUCAAGUCAGGGGUGAAAGCCCGGAGCUCAACGCCGGAAUUGCCCUUGAAACUGGAUGACUAGAAUCGUGGAGAGGUCAGUGGAAUUCCGAGUGUAGAGGUGAAAUUCGUAGAUAUUCGGAAGAACACCAGUGGCGAAGGCGACUGACUGGACAAGUAUUGACGCUGAGGUGCGAAAGCGUGGGGAGCAAACAGGAUUAGAUACCCCGGUAGUC